GGGUGGGUGGCUCAGUGGUUAGAGCCUAGGUAUCGUAACCGAAGGAUUCCGAGUUCGAACCUCGCCAGAGGCA
rnacentral:tRNA from 1 species